rnacentral:rRNA from 1 species
AUUGAACGCUGGCGGUAGGCCUAACACAUGCAAGUCGAACGGCAGCACAGUAAUAGCUUGCUCUUACGGCGGGCGAGUGGCGGACGGGGGCGGAAUACCUCGCUGUCUGCUUUGUAUUGCGUGAUAACGUGGGGGAACUUACGCUAAUACCGCUUACGACCUACGUGUGGAAUCAGGGGACCUUCGGACCUCAGGCGAUCGUAUGACCGGAUGUCGGAUUAGCUAGUUGGCGGGGUAAAGGCCCACCAAGGCGACGAUCCGUAGCUGGUCUGAGAGGAUGAUCAGCCACACUGGAACUGAGACACGGUCCAGACUCCUACGGGAGGCAGCAGUGGGGAAUAUUGGACAAUGGGCGCAAGCCUGAUCCAGCCAUACCGCGUGGGUGAAGAAGGCCUUCGGGUUGUAAAGCCCUUUUGUUGGGAAAGAAAAGCAGCAGGUUAAUACCCCGCUGUUCUGACGGUACCCAAAGAAUAAGCACCGGCUAACUUCGUG